AUGUUCACUGUUAUAUUCAUGUGUCUGUGGCUUUCACUAGGUGACUCCAUGGCAGAUUCAAUACAGCCACUUUCCCCUCAUGUAGUUGUAGAUGAAGGUGAUGAUGUUACUCUGUCCUGCAACUACAGUGCUGCUGUACAGAAUCUGCACUGGUACAGACAAUAUCCAAAAUCUAAACCUGAGUUCCUUCUUUAUAUUUUGGAAAGUGGAGGUCUGAGUUCCAACCUUCCCCCAAGAAUGUCUGCUAAACUUCCUGGAGAUAAACGAGUGGAUCUGCUCAUCUCCUCUGCUGCUGUAUCAGACUCUGCACUAUACUACUGUGCUCUG